rnacentral:rRNA from 1 species
CUUGUUAACAUAAGAGGUCCAGCCUGCCCAGUGACCUAGUUCAACGGCCGCGGUAUCCUAACCGUGCGAAGGUAGCGUAAUCACUUGUCUUCUAAAUAAAGACUAGUAUGAAAGGCACCACGAGAACUAAACUGUCUCCCUUUUCUAAUCAGUGAACCUAAUCUCCCCGUGAAGAAGCGGGGAUUUAUAAAUAAGACGAGAAGACCCUAUGGAGCUUUAAACACAUAACACCUGCCUAACACCCACACCGCGCAGGAUGAUUACAAGUUUUCAGUUGGGGCGACUACGGAGAAAACCUACCCUCCGUGAUGACUCUACAACAAGCUACAGCUUUAUGUAUCAGUAAACUGACACCAUUGACCCAAUAUAUUGAUCAACGAAC